rnacentral:rRNA from 1 species
CCUACGGGAGGCAGCAGUGGGGAAUAUUGCGCAAUGGGCGAAAGCCUGACGCAGCGACGCCGCGUGAGGGAUGAAGGUCUUCGGAUCGUAAACCUCUGUCAGCAGGGAAGAACGGUCACUGUGCUAAUCAGCAGUGAAUUGACGGUACCUGCAAAGGAAGCACCGGCUAACUCCGUGCCAGCAGCCGCGGUAAUACGGAGGGUGCAAGCGUUAAUCGGAAUUACUGGGCGUAAAGCGCUCGUAGGCGGUCUGUCAAGUCAAGGGUGAAAUCCCCGGGCUCAACGUGGGAACUGCCUUUGAAACUGGCAGACUGGAGUGUGGGAGAGGAUAGUGGAAUUCCAGGUGUAGGGGUGAAAUCCGUAGAUAUCUGGAGGAACAACAGUGGCGAAGGCGACUAUCUGGCACAUAACUGACGCUGAGGAGCGAAAGCGUGGGUAGCAAACAGGAUUAGAUACCCGUGUAGUC